rnacentral:rRNA from 1 species
CCUACGGGAGGCUGCAGUGGGGAAUAUUGGACAAUGGGCGAAAGCCUGAUCCAGCCAUGCCGCGUGUGUGAAGAAGGCCUUCGGGUUGUAAAGCACUUUCAGUGGGGAAGAAAGCCUUGGGGCUAAUACCCUCGAGGAAGGACAUCACCCACAGAAGAAGCACUGGCUAACUCCGUGCCAGCAGCCGCGGUAAUACGGAGGGUGCGAGAGUUAAUCGGAAUUACUGGGCGUAAAGCGCGCGUAGGCGGUCUGAUAAGCCGGUUGUGAAAGCCCCGGGCUCAACCUGGGAACGGCAUCCGGAACUGUCAGGCUAGAGUGCAGGAGAGGAAGGUAGAAUUCCCGGUGUAGCGGUGAAAUGCGUAGAGAUCGGGAGGAAUACCAGUGGCGAAGGCGGCCUUCUGGACUGACACUGACGCUGAGGUGCGAAAGCGUGGGUAGCAAACAGGAUUAGAUACCCUAGUAGUC